GAAGGGAGCUAGCGUUGUUCGGAAUUACUGGGCGUAAAGGGCGCGUAGGCGGGUUUCCAAGUCGGGGGUGAAAUUCCAGGGCUCAACCCUGGGACGGCCUUCGAUACUGGGAGCCUGGAGAUCGGGAGAGGUGAGUGGAAUUCCGAGUGUAGAGGUGAAAUUCGUAGAUAUUCGGAGGAACACCAGAAGCGAAGGCGGCUCACUGGCCCGAGACUGACGCUGAGGCGCGAAAGCGUGGGGAGCAAACAGGAUUAGAUACCCUGGUAGUCCACGCCGUAAACGAUGUCGACUGGUUGUUGGGGGUUUGACACUCUCAGUAACGAAGCUAACGCGUGAAGUCGACCGCCUGGGGAGUACGGCCGCAAGGUUA
rnacentral:rRNA from 1 species